rnacentral:lncRNA from 1 species
GUAAAAGCCUUUUGUUAUUCCUGAGUUUAUGCUAAUAAGGUAGCUCCUGGUCAUUGCUCGGAUAGCUUCAGGGUGGGGACUGCCCACUAGAGAGACCAACCGCUCCAUUAGAGUUGGGACUUUGAGCCAACUUGACCUCGAGGGAGGGCAGAGUGGCUCGAGAUUCAAUCAAGUGAGUUCAGUCGCGUAGCCAAUGAUUUAAUGAAGCAUGCCUACAUAUUGAAACUUGAGUAAAAACUCUGGACCUCAAAGCUCAGUGGAGCUUCCAGCUUGGUGAACACGUUGAUGCGCUGGAGGGUGACUUGCCUUGAUUUCAUGAGGAGGAGACACAGAACCUCUGCCUUUGGGACCUUCCCAGAUCUCACCCUACAAGUCUCUUCAUUUGGCAGGUCCUCCAUACCUUUUAUGAUAAAACCGUAACGAAUAGCUGAGCCUGACCCUCCUCUCAACUAUGCAUCAUUGGCAAAGGCAACAAAUAAAAUUAAUCUUUGAGGAGGAUUAGCGGACCCACACCGUCUCCUGUCAAUUCAUUGUGUUUAUUAUGUGAACCACCACAAGCAGGAGACGUUCUGGAACGCGGACACCUACAAGAAGCUGCUUUGGUAAGACACAAAUCUUCAGUGUUUCUUUCCUUCACCACGUUGGGAUCCAAGCUGUCUUUCUGUUGUGUUUUUCUUGGGGAGGAAUGGACGAAGUAGCGCAAGUACACCGAGGAAGGGCAGCACCCAAGCCAUCCUGAAACUGUGAGUGGGCGAACGCGUAACUGCUCUCGGGGACCAGGAGCUGCUUCAGAAGCCCCUCAGUACGCAGUUGCAUAUUUUAGUUGUGGGUCCUUCUAGUUGUGGCAUGUGG